rnacentral:rRNA from 1 species
AGUGAACGCUGGCGGUAGGCCUAACACAUGCAAGUCGAACGGCAGCACAGUAAGAGCUUGCUCUUACGGGUGGCGAGUGGCGGACGGGUGAGGAAUACAUCGGAAUCUACUUUUUCGUGGGGGAUAACGUAGGGAAACUUACGCUAAUACCGCAUACGACCUACGGGUUAAAGCAGGGGAUCUUCGGACCUUGCGCGAUUGAAUGAGCCGAUGUCGGAUUAGCUAGUUGGCGGGGUAAAGGCCCACCAAGGCGACGAUCCGUAGCUGGUCUGAGAGGAUGAUCAGCCACACUGGAACUGAGACACGGUCCAGACUCCUACGGGAGGCAGCAGUGGGGAAUAUUGGACAAUGGGCGCAAGCCUGAUCCAGCAAUACCGCGUGGGUGAAGAAGGCCUUCGGGUUGUAAAGCCCUUUUGUUGGGAAAGAAAAGAAGCAGGUGAAUACCCCGAUGUUCUGACGGUACCCAAAGAAUAAGCACCGGCUAACUUCGUG